GACGAACGCUGGCGGCGUGCCUAAUACAUGCAAGUAGGACGCAGUUGCGAACGGGUGAGUAACACGUAGGUAACUACCUAUUAGAGGGGGAUAACUAUUGGAAACGAUAGCUACUACCGCAUACUAGUAGAUGGACAUGCGUUUUAUUAGCUAGUAGGUAGGGUAAUGGCCUAACUAGGCAACGAUACAUAGCCGAACUGUGCGGGUGGUCCGCCAAACUGGUACGGAGACACGGCCCAGACUCCUACGGGAGGAAGCAGUAGGGAAUCGUCGGCAAUGGACGAAAGUCUGACCGAGCAACGCCGCGUCAUUGAAGAAGGUUUUCGGAUCGUAAAACUCUGUUGUUAGAGAAGCGGUAUCUAACCAGAAAGCCACGGCUAACUACGUGCCAGCAGCCGCGGUAAUUC
rnacentral:rRNA from 1 species